AAUCAACGCUGGCGGCGUGCCUAACACAUGCAAGUCGAACGCGAAAGCCCCUUACGGGGGGUAAGUAGAGUGGCGUCCGGGUGAGUAACACGUGGGUAAUCUGCCUUCGGGUGGGGAAUAACUCAGGGAAACUUGAGCUAAUACCGCAUAAUGCAGCGGCACCUAAUGGUGAUUAGUUGUUAAAGCGGGGGAUCGCAAGACCUCGCGCCUGAAGAGGAGCCUGCGGCAGAUUAGCUAGUUGGUAAGGUAAUGGCUUACCAAGGCUUCGAUCUGUAGCUGGUCUGAGAGGACGGCCAGCCACACUGGCACUGACACACGGGCCAGACUCCUACGGGAGGCAGCAGUGGGGAAUUUUGGGCAAUGGGCGAAAAGCCUGACCCAGCAACGCCGCGUGAGGGGA
rnacentral:rRNA from 1 species